GACGAACGCUGGCGGCGUGCUUAACACAUGCAAGUCGAACGGAAAGGCCCUGCUUUUGUGGGGUGCUCGAGUGGCGAACGGGUGAGUAACACGUGAGUAAUCUGCCCUUGACUUUGGGAUAACUUCAGGAAACUGGGGCUAAUACCGGAUAGGAGCUCCUGCUGCAUGGUGGGGGUUGGAAAGUUUCGGCGGUUGGGGAUGGACUCGCGGCUUAUCAGCUUGUUGGUGGGGUAGUGGCUUACCAAGGCUUUGACGGGUAGCCGGCCUGAGAGGGUGACCGGCCACAUUGGGACUGAGAUACGGCCCAGACUCCUACGGGAGGCAGCAGUGGGGAAUAUUGCACAAUGGGCGGAAGCCUGAUGCAGCAACGCCGCGUGCGGGAUGACGGCCUUCGGGUUGUAAACCGCUUUCGCCUGUGACGAAGCGUGAGUGACGGUAAUGGGUAAAGAAGCACCGGCUAACUACGU
rnacentral:rRNA from 1 species